CUGCAUUCGAUUGUUUGUCACAUUACCCAGCUGUCUCGAGCUGUCUGCAGAACGUAUAAAUCGCUGCUCUGUCGGGAUUUCCCAAACACUGAUACAAUUUCUGUUUAAGAACAGAUUCUGAGAUGAUAAAUUGGACACGACACAGAGAAAGAAAUACGUUCCAGAAUUAAAACAAAAUCGACUGAUAUAUUGGUGGGGAGUGUGAUUCUCCGCUAAUCUCGAAAAGACUUGAGAACCCCUUAGGUCUACUUAGACAGUCACGUUUAUGUCACGGCGGACACGUAUAUUAAAUGGUAUUACGACUUUCAAAGAUAUCGGAGUAUUGAUCAUACUGACGGCGCCAGUGACAGGAGUCAACAGUUUCAAAUGAAAGUUUGGGACGCGUAGGAAACGUGGGAGUGUCGUUUUUAUUGGAAGAUUGGACAAGGUGCUUCAAAAUGGGAAAUGUAAACUUGCACAGCCUAAAAGCCGGUGACGUUCUGACAAUCCAUGGUAUGGCGGGGCAUAAUACAUUGCCACACUGGGGAGUUUACAUCGGCAAUGGAGAUAUAGUACAUUUCACUCGGCGGGAAAUCAGAAGGGACGCCCUCAAACAGCUCUGCAAGUCAAAAUCAAUCAAUGUUAAAGUACACAACUGUCAUGACGACCAUUAUCAACCGAAAGACAGCAACGAUGUUAUCAUAAGCGCGGAAGAUCAAGUAGGGACAGAGUGUACGCAGAAUCGGUGGAUGAGUUGCAAAGAGUUUGCGUGUUGGUGUCGAUACGGUGAUGUUAUUCCAAACAAAAUGGAGCUGCAGACUGAAGACCGGGUACUGUGCUUUGAAAUAAACGACGAAGGCACCGACACACGCCUACUGCACGACUCUGCCAACUGAAUUUAUCUGCUCAUCUCCAGAUUUGUUCCCGCCAGAUUUUUUUUAAAAACUUUCAGAUUCUCUCAACUGUUUUUGCACAAGUUACAGAUUGAUUUAGUAUAAGUAUCUUGAAAGUGCUGUGAUGGAAACCAUGGUAUUGUAAAAAAAACA